rnacentral:rRNA from 1 species
UACGUAGGGGGCAAGCGUUGUCCGGAUUUAUUGGGCGUAAAGAGCGUGUAGGCGGCUAGGUAGGUCCGUUGUGAAAACUCGAGGCUCAACCUCGAGACGCCGGUGGAAACCAUCUAGCUAGAGUCCGGAAGAGGAGAGUGGAAUUCCUGGUGUAGCGGUGAAAUGCGCAGAUAUCAGGAAGAACACCCGUGGCGAAGGCGGCUCUCUGGGCCAUAACUGACGCUGAGAAGCGAAAGCAUGGGGAGCGAACAGG